GGAUCGCGGCGACGCCGGCGGUUCGCCGCCGGUGUUGUUGUGAGAAGUUCAUUAAACCUUAUCAUUUAGAGGAAGGAGAAGUCGUAACAAGGUUUCCGUAGGUGAACCUGCGGAAGGAUCAUUGAACACACGAUCUAUGAAAAACUUUGCGAAUCGUUUAUGUCCAAUGAGGGAUCGUGCCCGGAGGCACGAUCGUCGGUGCCCGAGUCGAGGAUCAUGCGCUUCCGCCUUGAUCGCCCCGUUUGGUGCGUGGCGGGAUGGAGUGGCUCGGGUUUCAUCGCAGGAUCGCCCCCAGAGACGCAUGGCGCUGAGUUCUUCGGGACUUGGAGCCGGGAGCGGUCCCCUCCUCCAACGGAGGGAGAGUCUCGAAGAACUCGGGCCGCUCUUCGGAGUGAGGCCGAGUCUCUCCACGAUGACUCUUUCUCCAUUGGUGCCCAUUUUUUCUCCCAAGAAACUUGAUACAACUCUAGAUAAUGUGAUUGAGGCAGGGUCCGGGAGUGCCACGGUGCUCCUCGGGCUCCGACCAAAACGAUAAUACAAAUGACUCUCAGCAAGCGGAUAUCUUGGCUCUUGCAACGAUGAAGAACGCAGCGAAAUGCGAUACCUAGUGUGAAUUGCAGAAUUCCGCGAAUCAUCGAGUUUUUGAACGCAAGUUGCGCCCGAGGCUCGUCUGAGGGCAUGCCUGCCUGAGCGUCCGCUCCGACCCACCCACUACUCUUGUCCUCCUUGCAAGAGGAGGGCAUGGACGAGUGCGAGUGGAAUUGGUCGUCCGAGAACCCGUUCGUUCCCAGUCAGGGGCGUCUGCAGGAUCAUCGGUCGGCUGAAAAUGGGAGCCGUCCGUCAAAGCGCACGCUGGGAUCAAGUGCGUCGCGAGAAGGUGUCGUCCGUCUCCCGUCGUCCUCGACCGGAGACGGAUGCUGAUUUAGAGCGUCGUACCCGUCCCGCGGAGUUGAUAUUUGGCGGUCUGGCGAAGUGUGUGCAUGGGGAGCUUUCGGACUCUGGGCACUCCCUCUCGUGGGGUUAACCUCGGAAGAGGGUGACAACACGGAGGAGGCCCAGUCCGAACGCAACGUUGCUCGGACCUCAGAUCAGGCAAGACCACCCGCUGAGUUUAAGCAUAUCACUAAGCGGAGGAAAAGAAACUAACAAGGAUUUCCUUAGUAACGGCGAGCGAACCGGAAGUAGCCCA
rnacentral:rRNA from 1 species